rnacentral:rRNA from 1 species
UACAAACCGUGCGAACGUUGUUCGGAAUCACUGGGCGUAAAGCGCACGCAGGCGGAUCGAUCAGUCGGGGGUGAAAGCCCGGGGCUCAACCUCGGAAUUGCCUUCGAUACUGUCGGUCUCGAGUCCGGGAGAGGCGAGUGGAAUUCCUAGUGUAGAGGUGAAAUUCGUAGAUAUUAGGAAGAACACCAGUGGCGAAGGCGGCUCACUGGCCCGGUACUGACGCUCAGGUGCGAAAGCGUGGGGAGCAAACAGG